GACGAACGCUGGCGGCGUGCUUAACACAUGCAAGUCGAGCGGUAAGGCCCUUUCGGGGGUACACGAGCGGCGAACGGGUGAGUAACACGUGGGUGACCUGCCCUUAGCUCUGGGAUAAGCCUGGGAAACUAGGGUCUAAUACCGGAUAUGACUCCAUGACGCAUGUUGUGGGGUGGAAAGCCUUGUGCGGCUAGGGAUGGGCCCGCGGCCUAUCAGCUUGUUGGUGGGGUGAUGGCCACCAAGGCGACGACGGGUAGCCGGCCUGAGAGGGCGACCGGCCACACUGGGACUGAGACACGGCCCAGACUCCUACGGGAGGCAGCAGUGGGGAAUCUUGCGCAAUGGGCGAAAGCCUGACGCAGCGACGCCGCGUGGGGA
rnacentral:rRNA from 1 species